GGGGUAUUUAGUUCUCUCAAUGAGAGAGAAUAUGAUCGUAUCUUCUUCUCUGAUCAAGGAGUCUCUCACCGUUUCAAGUGUCAUUACAUUGGAGUCUGCUACUUCCAUGCCGUCUGCCUCAAAACAGUUGCCAACGCGCGCUUCAAUUCAAUGGCAGCAGUGUUUGAACAAAAAAGUCACGAACCUCGACAACUUUCUCGAAGAACCCGAGCAAGAACCAGGAGAAGAACAAGCUACGAUGUGGGUGUCGACCAGAUGGCGUUCCCGAUAAAAAUGAGAGCGUACACGGCAA